UGUAAACGGCAGAGCAGUUC
rnacentral:snRNA from 1 species